GGGUCAGUAGGUUGGUCGUGCCACCGGUACGUACUGGUCUAACUGAUUCCUCCUUCCUGAAGAACCGUAAUGCCAUUAAUUUGGUGUUGCGUGGAAACAGGACUGUUACUUUGAAAAAAUUAGAGUGUUUAAAGCAAGGUAACGCUUGAAUACAUUAGCAUGGAAUAAUGAAAUAGGACGAUCGAUCCUAUUUUGUUGGUUUCUAGGAUUGACGUA
rnacentral:rRNA from 1 species